CGGCGCGGCAGAAGCCGCCGCUCCCUGCGCGUCCCGCGGCGGUGCGGACGCCUCCUCCGGGACGGGGCUGCCCGAUCGCUCUCCGGUCCCUGCGCUCCGGCGCUGCCGCUCCCGCGCCGACGAAAGGCGGGGGAUUUCCGUUCUCCCGGCCCCGGUGGGGGAACGCGACCUGUUCGCCGGCACGCGUGGAGCCGUCCCGGGGCAGGAGAAGACAGCAAGAUCCCUUUCCAAGGAGAUUGGCACAGGUUUAUACACCUGGUCACAGGCACCUGGCACCCCUCUAACACUGCUCCCACCACUGGACAGAAGAGGCAAAAAUGGGGCUGUGAAAGUGUUCUGAUGACAUCAGUAUGCUUCCCUGGCAACAAAUACUAUAUCCUACCUACUCGUUCAUCAGUACAAUUGGGUAAAAACAGAAAAUGUGGAAAGGAGUAUGGGUGAGUACUAAAAGCUACUCCUUGAAGAGCUCCAGUGAUUCCUCAAGCAAGGUUCAGUAUUACUUCCACAUUCCCCUUGACCUCUUCAGCAACACUGAAGUACAGAGAUCUCAAUUGCUGAAUAUCAGUGGUACAAGACAGGGAUACUUCCUGCUGAACCAUACGAUGAUACUCCAAACAAGGUAGGAAACAGCCGUUUUUCAGGUUUUGCAUCUAGUCUUGUGUUCAUUCUUCUCACUUCAGACACUUAUCUAUGGUCUGCUGCGUCUAAGACAGAAACCCUCCUCAGCCAAGAAGAACAGGUGAAAUAAAAACAUUAAUGCAGGACAACACCAUCAGUGGCUUCUCACUGGUGACUUUUUUUUUUUUUAAACAGGAAUCUAUAACUAGAUUUAAUGAGAUUAGGAACCCCAAACAGGACUCCAUUGAAAGUGGGCUUAGGAGAAGAAUCCUCUCUCUGAUGCUCUGAAACACUGCAAAUGGGAGUUUUCUAGCAUAAUCAAAAUCAUCUAACAAGCCAAGAAGUGCAAAACAUAUCUUUCCACAGAGUUCUCCAUAGCAAGUUUAAAGCCUUAAUUUUUGACCUUUAAAGCACUAUGUGGUCUCUCUCUCUCUCUUUUUUUUUUUUUUUUAAAUAAAUACAAAUUAGAUAGCUACAGUAUUGAAGUUCUUUACAAAAAUCCCACUGGGUAUCUAUCUUUGAAAAUCUGGCACUAACCAAGUUUUGAGCUAAAUCCUAAGUGGCCUAGAUCCCAACCUCAGAGGAGGUUAGGCUAGCACAGAAUCCUAACCACAAAAGCAUGAGGGCAGUAAGCCAACAAUGCCAGUUUAAGCACUGCUGGCAGGACUGUGUCCCCUUACACAUCUCCCCUCUGAGCCUCAUGGCUCAGAGUGAGGCCACAAGAGUGGCAGCAGGUCUGUCUUGUCCAGUUACAGAUUCUGCACAGCAACUCAGCCAGUGUGUACUCUUGUAUUUGCUGGGCUCAGCCAGGGCUUUAAGACAGGCAGGUUGGAAAGCUAGACAAAUGCCUGCAUUUGAAAAAGGGACAGCACAAAAUGGAAAGCGGCUCCCCUUCUCUAGCCUGGUCCCUAUGUCCCAGGCCAAAUACAAAGCUUGCUUUAGGGCACUAUAUAAAUUGGUAUUAUAAAUUCAGAUGGUGCACCAGGGAGUGCCUCAUUCUGUAUGAUUGGAGUCAUUCUCAGGAGCAGUUCAGGCACUCAGUCUGCCACAUGCGACUGCUGCCCCAAGGGCUGCCAUUACAGAUGCAUUAUUACAAAGCUCCGCAAUAAAGCAUGAACUAAAACAACUUCAUUGAAAUGAAGAUUAAUACAGAACAUGUGUUCACCUCCAUACACUCAGAAGGAACAGUCCAGCAAACACAAGCACCACAGCACUAGAGCUGAUGGGCUAGGGGAGAAAUGCAACUGGCCAACCGUUGCUAUUGCUGAAGGCAAGCAAUACAUUUCCAUAGCAUCUUCUAAGCAUCCACAGAUAGAUUUAACAUAGCAUCUGUGAAGCAGAAAGUGAGGCAAGCAGGACAUGCGGAGUGCUGGAACACACAGGGAAGCAUGCUGUGUCUAAGGCAGAGAACAGAGAGGGAUGCUUCAGACCUACAGAAGUAAUAUCACUGGCUGAAUAGUGAUCCAUGCCUUUAGUUAUCACAGACUUCAGUGGAUAUUGAGGCUUCUCAGCACUUCAAAGUGUCAUAUCCAUGUGAGAGUUACAGGUGAGAAAGAUCAACUAAGGUGAUGGUUUAUCCAUCCCCCUCACAAUCAGAAGAAUUAUUCUAUAUUCGCAUCAUCUAUUUGUUGGUGCUAUUGUUGCCUGACAAACUCUCCCAUACAAUUCACAACAUUCCUUUUCUGAUGCCAACAGAGCCUCGGAUUUCACUACUGGCAUGAACUCUGGGACAUUAUAUCUACAUAUUUCCCAGAUCAAAUUAAACUCAUGAUAUUC
rnacentral:lncRNA from 1 species